CCCAUCCCAGAAGCCCAGCCAGCUUCACCUCUCACAGGUACCUGCUACGGGACUUUGCAGCACCUAGCCUGGGCACUGGGGCAGCCCAGAGGGAGCUCGUCCCAGACAACCAAGAGGAAAAGAGGGGAAGCGAGAAAGAGAGGAGACCCGCCAUUAUGACCAAUGACCCGGUGAAGCAGGAAUGACGGUUCCCGCACAGGCCCCUGAUCAAUCCCAGCAGGCGCCAGCAGGGCCGGGCACAAUGCUGGGCCCGCUGAGCCCACGCAUCAGGAACCCACGCUUCAGGCGCAGCCCAGAUUCGCGCUGCACCUCUCCCUCCACACCUCCCCGCGAGCAGAGGGAGCCGGGCUCCGACCUCGGCCAGCCCCAGUGAGGGACCCCAACAGCUCAGCGGUUGACUGAAGGGCUCCUCAAGCGCGGCCAGAGCGGAUGCGGAGGCCGAGGAGUUGCCAAGAGCGAGGGCUGGUAGCACGUUGUCACGUCUCAAAACUGCCCUGUAAAGUCUGCAAGAUGUGACUAUUCCACCAAAUCUCCAGACAUCCACAUAAGGCAACGAGAAACAUGAAAAACCAGGAAGACAUCAAACUACCAAAAGAAUACAAUAAACUCACAGCAGCUGACCCCAAAUAAAUGGAGACAUAGUAGUCCUGUCUUAUGUACGGUUUCACUUUCUACAGUUUCAGUUACCCAUGGAAUGAAGAAGUAGGACUGGGAUGCAAACUAGACCAUCCAGCCCUACUGUUUGCAGCCUGAACCACAAGCAAAUGGACAUUUUCCUUUCAUGGAGGUCAGGACAGAUGGAGGACAUAUGUGAAUAAGUGAUAUAUCAGACAACUGAGCAGCUUCUGAACAGUCAACAGGCACCAGAUCUGACUUCAGCCCAGUUUUUCCUCUGGGGAUAAGAUAUAGUAUAUCUGCGGGCAUCUAGAAGACUAUUGAAGCAGUUAUCCCUCAAUGGAUGCCUUUCUUCACUAACUUAAUUACAUUUCUAUAAGUAUAAUAAAG